GACGGACGGCAGACCCCGCCUGAGGCGAGGAGGGGGAACUCCGCGUCCCCCUCCGCCGCAUUCCGUCCGUCCCAUUCGCUGCCCGCUCGCGAUGUGAGGACGGAAGUGUUAAGUGUGUGCGUUGCGGUGCCGUCUGCCGUCUCCUCUUCCGACCUGCAGGUAGGGAAUAGUGCUGACGGUGGCGUCAUGCGGCGAAACUGGACCCAGCAAUAAAAAAUCUCGGCUCACCAAUUAUAUGCGAUGCAAGGCACGACGAACGACAUCCUCCUGUGUUCGAGUGGCUGGAUGCAGACGAAACGGCGGCCUCGACGAUAAUUGUGACGUGACGUGACGUCAACGUGUGAUGAGGUGAUGUGACUGUGGCGUGUGGGUGACUCGAAAAGUAAAGGGCUGGUAAUAUGUGUUCCCAGAUUGACAUUUUUUUGUGAAUAUUGAUUUUAACGUUUACGCUGGAACAUCAUUUCAUUUCACUUCAUGGAUUUCGUACACAUGGGUCUCGACAUAAAUACAAUUGAAACGAUAUCUUA